GCUCCAAUAGCGUAUAUUUAAGUUGUUGCAGUUAAAAAGCUCGUAGUUGGAUUUCGGGUGGGUUCCAGCGGUCCGCCUAUGGUGAGUACUGCUGUGGCCUCCUUUCUGUCGGGGACGGGCUCCUGGGCUUCACUGUCCGGGACUCGGAUUCGACGAUGAUACUUUGAGUAAAUUAGAGUGUUCAAAGCAAGCCUACGCUC
rnacentral:rRNA from 1 species